ACGUACACUCCUACGGGAGGCAGCAGUGGGGAAUAUUGGACAAUGGGCGCAAGCCUGAUCCAGCCAUGCCGCGUGAGUGAUGAAGGCCCUAGGGUUGUAAAGCUCUUUCACCGGUGAAGAUAAUGACGGUAACCGGAGAAGAAGCCCCGGCUAACUUCGUGCCAGCAGCCGCGGUAAUACGAAGGGGGCUAGCGUUGUUCGGAUUUACUGGGCGUAAAGUGCACGUAGGCGGACUAUUAAGUCAGGGGUGAAAUCCCGGGGCUCAACCCCGGAACUGCCUUUGAUACUGGUAGUCUUGAGUUCGAGAGAGGUGAGUGGUAUUCCGAGUGUAGAGGUGAAAUUCGUAGAUAUUCGGAGGAACACCAGUGGCGAAGGCGGCUCACUGGCUCGAUACUGACGCUGAGGUGCGAAAGCGUGGGGAGCAAACAGGAUUAGAAACCCUGGUAGUCCCAUGAU
rnacentral:rRNA from 1 species